rnacentral:tRNA from 1 species
GGACUGGUAGUUCAGCUGGUUAGAAUGCCGCCCUGUCACGGCGGAGGUCGCGGGUUCGAGUCCCGUCCGGUCCG